CUGCCCUGUCCCAACUUCCACCUGCUGGUGGCCUGUGCAAUGCUGGAGCUGCUGCCACCCGUGGACGGGGACCCCGCGGGGGACACCCCCAGGGACGGCGACAGCGGCGGCCGUGGGGACAAUGACGGCGAUGGAGACACGGACGAGGACACGGACGAGGAUGAGGGUCCCCCCGUGCGGUGGCCGCAGCUCGACGCCGACGAGGUCCUGAGCCGGGCGGAGGGCAUCUACUGGCAGCUGGCGGCCACUGCCGUGAGUGUCCCCG